GAAACCAACAGGGAUUGCCUUAGUAACGGCGAGUGAAGCGGCAACAGCUCAAAUUUGAAAUCUGGCCCUUGGGUCCGAAUUGUAAUUUGUAGAGGAUGAUUUUGGUGCGGUAUCUUCCGAGUUCCUUGGAACAGGACGCCUUAGAGGGUGAGAGCCCCGUACGGUUGAAUGCCUAGCCUCUGUAAAUCUCCUUCGACGAGUCGAGUAGUUUGGGAAUGCUGCUCUAAAUGGGAGGUAAAUUUCUUCUAAAGCUAAAUAUUGGCCAGAGACCGAUAGCGCACAAGUAGAGUGAUCGAAAGAUGAAAAGCACUUUGAAAAGAGGGUUAAAUAGCACGUGAAAUUGUUGAAAGGGAAGGAUUUGUGACCAGACUUUUUCUGGGCGGAUCAUCCGGGGUUCUCUCCGGUGCACUUUGCCCAGUAAAGGCCAGCAUCGGUUUUCGGCGGGGGAUAAAAGCAGUAGGAAUGUGGCUCUCUACGGGGAGUGUUAUAGCCUAUUGUAUAAUACCCUGCUGGGGACCGAGGUACGCGCUUCUGCAAGGAUGCUGGCGUAAUGGUUAUCAAUCACCCGUCUUGAAACACGGACCAAGGAGUCGAACAUUUGUGCGAGUGUUUGGGUGUUAAACCCUCACGCGUAAUGAAAGUGAACGGAGGUGAGAGCCCUUACGGGUGCAUCAUCGACCGAUCCUGAAGUUUUCGGAUGGAUUUGAGUAAGAGCAUAACUGUUCGGACCCGAAAGAUGGUGAACUAUGCGUGGAUAGGGUGAAGCCAGAGGAAACUCUGGUGGAGGCUCGCAGCGGUUCUGACGUGCAAAUCGAUCGUCAAAUCUGCGCAUGGGGGCGAAAGACUAAUCGAACCAUCUAGUAGCUGGUUAC
rnacentral:rRNA from 1 species